rnacentral:rRNA from 1 species
UGGGGAAUAUUGGACAAUGGGCGCAAGCCUGAUCCAGCCAUACCGCGUGGGUGAAGAAGGCCUUCGGGUUGUAAAGCCCUUUUGUUGGGAAAGAAAUCCAGCCGGCUAAUACCUGGUUGGGAUGACGGUACCCAAAGAAUAAGCACCGGCUAACUUCGUGCCAGCAGCCGCGGUAAUACGAAGGGUGCAAGCGUUACUCGGAAUUACUGGGCGUAAAGCGUGCGUAGGUGGUCUGUUAAGUCUGAUGUGAAAGCCCUGGGCUCAACCUGGGAAUUGCAUUGGAUACUGGCAGGCUAGAGUGCGGUAGAGGGUAGUGGAAUUCCCGGUGUAGCAGUGAAAUGCGUAGAGAUCGGGAGGAACACCAGUGGCGAAGGCGACUACCUGGACCAGCACUGACACUGAGGCACGAAAGCGUGGGGAGCAAAC